AUGUGAAAUGCUGUCUAUUCAUUCAAACAACCUUACUUAAAAAAUAAUAAUGCAAAUAAAAUAGUCUAGAUAUUCUCUUCAAUAUACAUUCAUAUGUACUCCUUAUAAACACAUAUCUACUAUCUUGAGUUCUGCAUCUUUUUCCAUAUAAUAUCAUACCCUAUUCUACUUCCAUCAGUUCUAUGUCCUUACUAUAUGUAUUUAUUUCCUAGGGCUGCUGUGACAAAUCACCACAAGUUAAUGGCUUCAAACAACAGACAUUUAUUCUCCCACAGAUCUGGAAGCCAGAAGUCCAAAACCAAGUUGUCUCCCACUGAAGACUCUAGAGAAGAAUCCUUCCUUGCUUCCUCCAGCUUCUGGUGGCUCUGUAUUCUUUGACUUUGGACGAUAUAUUUCAAAUCUCUGCCUCUAUCUCCACUUAGCCUUCUUCUGUUUCCAUAUCUUCUUCUCUUUUUCUCUUUAAAGGAAACAUGGUUUUUGAAUCCAGGACCUGCACUAAUCCAGGAUGGUCUCAUCUUGAUAUCCUUAAUUAUAGCCACAAAGACUCUUAUUCCAAGUAAUCAUAUUGAGGUUUUGGGUAGACAUAUUUUUUGAGGGGCCUCAAUUUGACCCACUAAUGCAUAUGAGUAGCUUUUAGUUCUUUGCAACUUUUUGCUAAUAUGAACAUAGCUCUAGAUAGAUUGCAUAUGAAAAUACUGUAAAUUACUAAGUCCUGGGUAAACCACUUAAGAUGACAGUACUAUUUUGUGGGGAAGGGGUAUUUUCUUGGGAUAGUUUUCAAAAGUGGAUUUACAACAUUAAUAAUGAGAAGAGUUUUUUUGUUUGUUUUUGUUUUUUGUUUUCCUGCUCUUGUAACAAACUGCCAGGAUGUGCAGUCCAGAAAGAUUAGAUCAUUUUGCAAUACCCUGUAGCAAUAUGUGAAAUAACUGAAAGGAAAAAAAAAAAAAGAGAGAGAGAGACAGUUUGACUAAUCAUUUCAAUAUCUGAUAGGAGAGAAAUACUGAGAAUGGCAAAAAAUAAACUAUAUACCAUGUAUCUCAGAGAGAAGGAGAAACAAUGACCCAAUUGCCUUAUCUUUCCUAUCUGCUACUCUAUCCCACAUAGAACUCUUGGUGCUGUUUUCAGGGCUGGCAGCUAAAGAAGGUGGCUACUUGAGACUUAGAUGCAGUGAGGGUAAAAGCUUAGGUUCUGGAGUCUAAUCUACUUGAACCAAAUUGUGAAGGAAUUUGUUUUUUCUUGGUUUCUGAACCUUCUGUGCUUUGCAAGUCUGUCCUUGACUCCAAGUGCCUGAGCACUUGGACCUGGGAGUUAAGAGAAAAUGAGUAGUUUUCUUCUGCUGAGUUUUAUGUGACUGAUUGGGGUCAUUUUAAAGCUUACUCCCUUCCAGGGCAGGUGAACAGGGAGCAAAGGUUAAAAUCUAAAGAAUUAAUACCUGAAAGUUGCAAUUUCUGACAUCAACCAGUUUGGAGGAGUGUUAAUGAGAUGGAAUCAGGGUCAGUUGGAAGAUACAGCCUUCUGCAACUUAACAGAACAACCCACCCCCCAUUCCCAAGGCUAACCCCAGCAAUGCAGGUGCUGGAAAGUGAUGGCUCUUCCUGUGUCUUUUCCUUCGGACUCCCAGGCUCCCUUUGCAGGUCAGAUUCCUGCUUACCUCUGCACAGAGUCAUGUUAAUCACUUAAGGAGUGUUCAUCUAAAGCUGAUCAUUUCCCCCUUCCAGACUGAAGACACCAAGAUAAGAAUAAUUAAGGUAUUUUCAAGAUUUGCAGGGAGAUUCAACUAUCAGCUUUUAUAACAUCCUGUUCAAGACCCCUUGGACUGGUUCUGUCUUUUUCUAGACCCCCUGGGAUGGCAUCUAGAAGUCUCCUGUCAUUGCCCAACACCUUCCAGGAACAACGGAACCUUGUAGGCAGAUCAGUGGUAAGACUGCCCCCUCUAAGCAGGACUAUUGGUUUUAUGGGAGCAGAAUUGUCCUUUUUCCAGAAUCACAGGUCUGAUAGAGAAAGAUCUUGAGCAGCAAAUGGAGACACCCUACUCAAGUGAAAAUAACUUACCAGAGCCACCUAGCAGAA